rnacentral:rRNA from 1 species
GACGAACCGAGCGAACGUUGUUCGGAAUCACUGGGCUUAAAGGGCGCGUAGGCGGGCUGUCAAGUCUGGGGUGAAAUCCCGCGGCUCAACCGUGGAACUGCCUCAGAUACUGACGGCCUCGAGGGGGGUAGGGGCGAGCGGAACGGGUGGUGGAGCGGUGAAAUGCGUUGAUAUCUGGAGGAACACCGGUGGCGAAGGCGGCAUCCUGGACCGGUAUUGACGCUGAGGCGCGAAAGCCAGGGGAGCAAACGGG